rnacentral:misc_RNA from 1 species
AAAUCAAAUCAACCACUCCGGUGAUUGGUCAUGGAGGAAGAGUCCGUCGUGUUGUGGUCUCCCCUCCCAAAAUAAAUGGCGGAAAGUUGCUGGCACUCGGUGUAGGAGUAUUAUUCGCCGAUUGUCCAGUGUCGUUCCUGCCGUCAAAUCCCCACAAUUAUCUU